rnacentral:tRNA from 1 species
GCCGAAGUGGCGGAAUGGCAGACGCGCUGCGUUCAGGGCGCAGUGGGCAAUAGCCCGUGUGGGUUCAACUCCCACCUUCGGCACCA